GUGUGCGAGUCAUUGGGUAUAUUGUUGAAACCUAAGGGCGUAAUUAAAAUAACUAUUUUAUGGGAUUACAAGUGAAUUAAAUUUCAUUUCUUCAUCCCGGGGCGUUCUAUACGAACAUGGUUUAAGCAAUUGAAUCCUCUGUUCAAGAGCGUACCUUGAGCAUACAUGCUGUGACCCGAAAGAUGGUGAACUAUACCUGAUCAGAUCGAAGCCAGGAGAAAUUCUGGUGGAGGAUCGAAACAGUUCUGACGUGCAAAUCGAUUGUCAGAAUUGGGUAUAGGGGCGAAAGACCAAUCGAACCAUCUAGUAGCUGGUUCCCUCCGAAGUUUCCCUCAGGAUAGCUGGCGCAAAGAAUUAUAUUAUAUAUAAUCUUAUCUGGUAAAGCGAAUGAUUAGAGGCCUUGGGGCCGAAACGACCUCAACCUAUUCUCAAACUUUAAAUGGGUAAGAACCUCAUCUUUCUUGAUCUGAAGAUAUUGGGGUUUAGAUAUAUUGUGCCCAGUGGGCCACUUUUGGUAAGCAGAACUGGCGCUGUGGGAUGAACCAAACAUGAUGUUACGGCGCCUAAAUUAAUGACUCAUAUUGAUACCAUGAAAGGCGUUGGUUGCUUAAAACAGCAGGACGGUGGACAUGGAAGUCGUAAUCCGCUAAGGAGUGUGUAACAACUCACCUGCCGAAGCAACUAGCCCUUAAAAUGGAUGGCGCUCAAGUCAUAUGCCUAUACAUCAUCGCUAGAAUAAAAAUUGUUAACUUUUAUUGGUUAUCAUUAUGAAAUUCUAGUGAGUAGGAGGGUACAAUGGUGUGCGCAGAAGUGUUUGGCGUGAGCCUGCAUGAAGCCGCCAUUGGCACAGAUCUUGGUGGUAGUAGCAAAUAAUCGAAUGAGAUCUUGGAGGACUGAAGUGGAGAAGGGUUUCGUGUGAACAGUGGUUGAUCACGAGUUAGUCGGUCCUAAGCUUUAUGCGAAAGCUGUUUAAUUUAUGUUACACACACAUUUAUUUUUGUUGUACAUAAUUCAAUAAAAGCGAAAGGGAAUACGGUUCCAAUUCCGUAACCUGUUGAGUAUACGUUUGUUUAUUAAAAAUGGGUCUUAUUACACUCAUCCUGGCAACAGGAACGACCA
rnacentral:rRNA from 1 species